rnacentral:lncRNA from 1 species
UUUGUGGUUCUACUGACUGAAGUGAUCCUAUCUUGUGACUCAUGCAUGGCACGUCUAUAAGUCAAGCUGGAAUCCUCUAAAAUAAGUCACAUGGGAAAAAAUUCUGAUCUUAUUCUAGACGAAGAAUGAAAAGCCAGGAAGCUACAUAACCCAAGCCAUCAAUCCUUUCCCCAGCCCUCACAUUAGGAGCCCUGGGAAGACAUCCAGGGACCUAACAAAGGAACCAGGAGGAGUUUUACAUUUAAGGCAGACAACUAUAAAAUCACUGAAAAGGUUGAAACAGAACCAUUCAAGAGAGGGCCAGACUCAACCACAGAGAAAUCCUCAUUUUAGUUUUCACAGAAACUUGCAUUGAGGGUUUUCGUAUGUCUGACACGGAUGGAUCCACUAGACCCACCAACUGGUGGUUUCACUGCUCCUAUAACUUCACCCGGAAGCAACUCAGCACAAAAGGACAGCUUAGACCCCUUAUCAUUUCAUUUCCACUCCAACCAGUCAGCAGCAAGCACCCAUUUCCUAGCCACCCCACCAUUACCUCCAAACUGCCUUUGAAAAGCCUCUACCCUACAAGCCUUCAAUGAGAUUGAUUUAACUGUCUCCCGCAUGGCAUGGCUAGCCUCAUAUCAAUUAAACUCUUUAUUUACUGCAGUGCUGUGGUUUUUAUUUGUGCAGUGGGCAGGAAU